UACGUAGGAGGCGAGCGUUGUCCGGAAUUACUGGGUGUAAAGAGCUCGUAGGCGGUUUGUCGCGUCUGUCGUGAAAGCUUGGGGCUUAACCCCAAGUCUGCGGUGGAUACGGGCAGACUAGAGGCAGGUAGGGGAGAACGGAAUUCCCGGUGUAGCGGUGAAAUGCGCAGAUAUCAGGAGGAACACCGAUGGCGAAGGCAGGUCUCUGGGCCACUACUGACGCUGAGAAGCGAAAGCAUGGGGAGCGAACAGG
rnacentral:rRNA from 1 species